rnacentral:lncRNA from 1 species
GUCAAUUUGAAUGUACUCAGUAACGACAGAGCUUUGAUAAAAGCCCCGGCACACACAGUUUGGAAGGUCUUGUGUCUAUUAGUCAGCAGGCAAUAUUCCGAAUUGGUUUACGAGGGAAGUGAAGCGGAGGAAGAGGUUAAGGAAGCUAAAAUUACGAAAUGCUUGCUUGACAACUCAAAAUAGUGAAGCAGAAGUAGGAUGCUCAUCAAAAUGCUUAUUAGGUCCUCUUGCUAAGAGAGGUGGUCAUAAAACUCAAGCAACUAAACAUUGGUACCACUCGGCGAGAUAAAAACCGCCGAUUAACAUUCCAAUUGAAGCAUGUUCCGCGAUGACCACCGCAAUGAAACUCAGUCUCGCCGCGCCAAAACAUAAUUGUUUUUCUUGCUAGGCGACUCCCGAUCCAGGUGUUAACGUUCUUUUCCUUUAACCUACCAUUUAAUCAUAUAGUUUUCACUUGUUCUAUUUCAAUAAACA